UACGGGGGGGGCAAGCGUUGUUCGGAAUUACUGGGCGUAAAGGGCGCGUAGGCGGCCUGCUAAGUCGGACGUGAAAUCCCUCGGCUCAACCGGGGAACUGCGUCCGAUACUGGCGAGGCUCGAAUCCGGGAGAGGAAUGCGGAAUUCCAGGUGUAGCGGUGAAAUGCGUAGAUAUCUGGAGGAACACCGGUGGCGAAGGCGGCAUUCUGGACCGAUAUUGACGCUGAGGAGCGAAAGCCAGGGGAGCAAACGGG
rnacentral:rRNA from 1 species